AGUUUCGCCGCAUGUACAGAAGGGUAUGUUUCCGCUUUUCCCAUUUGUAUGUUUCCUUGCUUUUGUCAUUUAAAAUUUGUUAAAUGGAAAAAAUCUGUUCUGGGUUUAAUUUUCUCUGAGACACUUCUAAGAUCAUUAGGGUCUGUCUGGGUGAGGCUGAGGAAAGGGUAAACAAGGGUGAUAAGUAAUUAUUAUACUCUGGGUUUGGAAUGGGGUGAGCUGAUGAAGGGUAAGGGUAAGUAAGGG
rnacentral:misc_RNA from 1 species